rnacentral:rRNA from 1 species
GUUGAACGCUGGCGGCAGGCUUAACACAUGCAAGUCGAGCGGAGAUGAGGUGCUUGCACCUUAUCUUAGCGGCGGACGGGUGAGUAAUGCUUAGGAAUCUGCCUGUUAGUGGGGGACAACAUUCCGAAAGGAAUGCUAAUACCGCAUACGUCCUACGGGAGAAAGCAGGGGAUCUUCGGACCUUGCGCUAAUAGAUGAGCCUAAGUCAGAUUAGCUAGUUGGUGGGGUAAAGGCCUACCAAGGCGACGAUCUGUAGCGGGUCUGAGGGGAUGAUCCGCCUCACUGGGACUGAGACACGGCCCAGACUCCUACGGGAGGCAGCAGUGGGGAAUAUUGGACAAUGGGGGGAACCCUGAUCCAGCCAUGCCGCGUGUGUGGAGAAGGCCUUAUGGUUGUAAAGCACUUUAAGCGAGGAGGAGGCUACUGAGACUAAUACUCUUGGAUAGUGGACGUUACUCGCAGAAUAAGCACCGGCUAACUCUGAGCCAGCCGCCGCAGUAACAC